UUAACUCUAAGGUUGAAAUGCCAUAAUAUCUCAAUCAUUCUUUUCUUUGCAUUGUUUACCAUCACUUGUGUCAUAUACACUACUAUAUUCUUGGACUCAUUCACUAAUGCCACACUUGUUCUCUAAGUGUUCAACAUGCCAUAAGUGUUUCCACUACACUAAUCAUAUGCCACUCGAUCUAUUUGACAUCCUACUUGUCCACAUCGCAUAUCAUAGUUCAUACGUUAUUGUUUUCCAACGUCGAGUUCUCUAAUUCACCUAGAGUUUAUCGACCCAAGUUCAACAUGCAAAUGUCAAUUAACAUAAUCCUCUAUAUGUCAACAUGCAUAGUUCAUCUAUCAUAUGCAAUAUGUCAUCAUGUAUAUAUCUCCAUUUAACAUAAUCCACAAUAUGUUAAUUCACAAUAUGUCAUCAUGCACAUAUACCAACUAGCAUAUUUCUAAUAAUAUCAACAUUCAUAUGUUCUUUAGCAUUUCAUGCACAUGCAUACUUUAGCAUCUAGAUCAUUCAUUCUCUUAGCAUAUAGCUUAUGUAUUCUUUAUUAAUAUCUUAUUUAUGCAUUCUUGAUUAGCAUAAUCUUGUACAUUCAUUUACUUUACAAUCAACUACCAAUGCAAUUAGCCAUCAUAAUGUAUGUAUGCAUCAAUUAGAAAACCAUACUCCACUUCGACAUGGAAGCGACCUAAUCGCUUCGGUGAGCACAACCCACCUCGUAAUGCUCUCCGAUUGUUGUAGUCACUUGCAAUCGGCCUCCCGCGGCACCCGGCACCCGGUUCGGCCCGAACUCUCGCGCGACCACCCGAACGGCCUCCAAUCCACGAUCCGGAAAUUAAAGGUCUUCGCUUAUGUGUCACAGUGCUCCAAAUCCGUUUUCAUAAUUUUACGAAG
rnacentral:lncRNA from 1 species